GUCCACGCCGUAAACGAUGAAUACUAGGUGUCGGGGGACAAUAGUUCCUCGGUGCCGAAGCAAACGCAUUAAGUAUUCCACCUGGGGAGUACGUUCGCAAGAAUGAAACUCAAAAGGAAUUGACGGGGACCCGCACAAGCGGUGGAGCAUGUGGUUUAAUUCGAAGCAACGCGAAGAACCUUACCUGCUCUUGACAUCCCACUGACAGGUCAGUAAUGCGACCCUUUCCUCGGAACAGUGGAGACAGGUGGUGCAUGGUUGUCGU
rnacentral:rRNA from 1 species